rnacentral:rRNA from 1 species
UACGUAGGCAGCAAGCGUUGUCCGGAAUCAUUGGGCGUAAAGCGCGCGUAGGCGGCCCGAUAAGUCCGCUGUAAAAGUCAACGGCUCAACUGUUGAAAGCCGGUGGAUACUGUCGGGCUAGAGUACGGAAGAGGCAAGUGGAAUUCCUGGUGUAGCGGUGGAAUGCGCGGAUAUCAGGAGGAACACCUAUAGCGAAGGCAGCUUGCUGGGACGUUACUGACGCUAAGGCGCGAAAGCGUGGGGAGCGAACAGG